CUUCUACAUUCUGGAAUUAGCCCCACAUAAAAUAUCUGUACUCUACAUUCCAAUAUUUCCAUAAAAUUUGGGAUCCUCUUAUUUGUAAUUAUCGCUAUUCUAUACGUACCAGAUUUUAUCAGGGGGUAGUAUUAAACGUAUGCGCUAUCACGUUUAGAACUUUUCCAUAAUUACCAAAAACUCUUCGUAAUAGAGCCUCAUCUACCUCACGAGGAACAUAUUUUAACGUCAAGGUAAGUACCUCCUUUUCCCUACUUUGGAUUUCAUAUUCUUUUCCAUCAUACUCAAUUACUUUUCCCAUUAGACUUUCUUUUGCUUUUACAGAACUUAGCCCUAUCUCUAUAAUUCCAUUUGGGCGAAAACACACCUGCUCUACUGCUCCUUCUUUUAGCUUUGCUGUUAUUUCCUUCACUAAAUCUGCCACUAUCACUUUUUCCUUCAUCACAAUCCUGACCAAUUUAUCUUUUCAGCUGAAGUCUCCUCAGCAUUCAUCCCCUCUGUCUCUGGCAAGGUCGGAUUCAACGCCGAACUUCCUCGGAGGGUGACUCCUAACACACUCUUCGGCUUUUGAACAUCUCCAAUUGUUUCUAAGUCAAUAGGAACUUCUUGACUUGUCCCCGGACCAGGAUCAUAGUCAAACACCGGAUCCAUUCAAUCAGAACUUCACCAGGCAAGAGGCCAACUGCCAGCACCAACUGGUUAAGUUAAUUGCAAGACCAAAAUCCAAAAAUAUUUAUUUAAUAGAAGCUGUAGAACACUUAUAGUAAUCAAUAAAGGCACUUAAUUCCAUUUAAGCUUUCAUAGAAUCCAACACAAGUCUACAGAAAGAUCAACUUUCCGUGACACGCCUCUCACGGGAGCUGUUUAAGUGUUUCUCACCAAUUUGGCUUAAAAAAGAUAAAAUUCCUCACUUUAAAGUUAUUUUAAGUCAAUUCUAUUUAUUCUACAGUCACUCUAUUUUAUAGUCCUUUCAAUAUUUCUACUCACAUUCUCACCAACUCUCUCUAUUCUCAAGCAGUUGUACAGACACUCCAAGUCCACUUUCCAUAAAAACUCUAAAAAUAAUUUUAAAAUUUUCACAAUAUUCCAACGGAAUAAUAAUCACCAACUCUCCAGGACACUAAAUAUCGAUGAAUUAAUCCAAAUAACGCACAAAUAAGCUCAGAAGUGGAUAACAAAGACUACUACAAAAUUUCUGCCAACACGGCCAAGAUAAGAACAGAUACUGGUGGUUUCAAAGUUUGUGGGACAACUAAUCUUAACUGCAGAUGGAUUUCCUUCAUCAGCCAGAUACUUUUUAGAGCGAUCACACCAUGUUAUAUACCCGCAUGCCAUUUAUAUGAGAAACACGAUCACGUGCAAAAGGUAGGCACCACAAAAACCACAACCACCACAGGAGAGGUUAUUUACAAAUAUACAAAUCCGACAAUAACGAAUUAGUAAAGUUACAAAAAUCAAAACCCGACAAAAAUAAUAUAAAUACACCCAUAAAUACAAAUACAAUACAAUCCCUUUUAAAUACUGGGGUAACAUCAAAAACCUGUAAAAACACAGGUAUAAAUACAAAGGUAAAUUUUUAAACAGCAAAUUUACAAUGACAAAAAAUAUAACAUAAAUAUUUUUUACAGGUAUACAAGUGUAAACAAAAACAUCAAAGUAAAUAUAAAACGACUUUGGAAACCCAGGACCAUGCAGACUUAGCAAUAUUACAUUCAAAAAAGAUAUGAAUAAUGGACUCAACACCACCACAUCUAGCGCAACGUUUAUCCUUCACUCUAUGAUACAGACGUUGUAUUCCUUUAAGUACCUCUUCACUCAACGAUUCAUCAGAUUGCAGAUCUCUGAAUAGCUUCUUCGUUUCCUGUUCCAUCCUCCGUCGAUAAACCUUGUGUCACCUCCAUUGACUCGUCUGGAUCAGUUGCUGCCGCAUCGAGACGUCGACGGGAAUGUUUGUUGGCCGACCCAUCGUGGAUGGAAAGGGAUCUACCCUUACCACCUAGGGCCUCCACAGAAGCAUCACAGCUCGUUGAAAGGGACAGCUCCCCCAUCUAACUGCCUCAGCACUCAGCCAAAGUGUUAGAAAAGUCAGUAGUGAAGUCAGUAAAACCAAAAAACAAACUCACCAAAAAAGGCUGUAAACUGUUAAAACGUCCAAAAAGGGUAACAAAAUCCAGGUAUAAAACUUUUAAACUCCACAAAAAAUUUCAAAGUCCAAACUCAGCAAAAGUCGGCAAAAACAGCAAAAAUCUCAAAACUAUGAAAAAAGUUUUGUUAACAAGAACGAGUCCUUGAUCUGAGCCAUAAGGCUGAGAAGCGAUAAAAAAACACAUCAAAGGUGCCGACGGGCCAAGUGUGGAGACAUACAAUUGUGUCCAGGUUACGUCAUUCGGCAAACAUCCAAUAAUACACAUGAAAGAACGUCAGGAAACGAUAAGUGACAAUGCAAAAGGCUACAGGAAUUGUCA